rnacentral:rRNA from 1 species
GUGAGGAAUAUUGGUCAAUGGACGAGAGUCUGAACCAGCCAAGUCGCGUGAAGGAAGACGGUUCUAUGAAUUGUAAACUUCUUUUGUGCAGGAAUAAAGUGGGUUACGUGUAACCUUUUGUAUGUACUGUACGAAUAAGGAUCGGCUAACUCCGUGCCAGCAGCCGCGGUAAUACGGAGGAUCCGAGCGUUAUCCGGAUUUAUUGGGUUUAAAGGGUGCGUAGGUGGAUUGAUAAGUCAGCGGUGAAAGUUUGCAGCUUAACUGUAAAAUUGCCGUUGAAACUGUCGGUCUUGAGUGCAAAUGAGGUAGGCGGAAUGUGUUGUGUAGCGGUGAAAUGCUUGGAUAUAACACAGAACUCCGAUUGCGAAGGCAGCUUACUGGGAUGCAACUGACACUGAUGCACGAAAGCGUGGGUAUCAAACAGGAUUAGAUACCCGUGUAGUCC